UACGUAGGGUGCGAGCGUUCAUCGGAAUUACUGGGCGUAAAGCGUGCGCAGGCGGUUUUGUAAGCCAGAUGUGAAAGCCCCGGGCUCAACCUGGGAAUGGCAUUUGGGACUGCAAGGCUGGAGUAUGGCAGAGGAGACUAGAAUUCCUGGUGUAGCAGUGAAAUGCGUAGAUAUCAGGAGGAAUACCGAUGGCGAAGGCAGGUCUCUGGGCCAAUACUGACGCUCAUGCACGAAAGCGUGGGGAGCAAACAGG
rnacentral:rRNA from 1 species